UAACACCUGGAAACAGAUGCUAAUACCGGAUAACAACAGAUGAUGCCUAUCAACUGUUUAAAAGUAUGGUUCUGCUAUCACUCUUGGAUGGACCUGCGGUGCAUUAGCUAGUUGGUAGGGUAACGGCCUACCAAGGCGAUGAUGCAUAGCCGAGUUGAGAGACUGAUCGGCCACAUUGGGACUGAGACACGGCCCAAACUCCUACGGGAGGCAGCAGAC
rnacentral:rRNA from 1 species